CAUAGGUUCGAGCGAACUGUCAAACAUAUGGAUUAUUUAUGGUGGAAGGUUCAUACCGCAGUGUAAAAUUCACAGUCUUUAUUUAUUUUCAUGUAUUUUGCUAUAAUUUUUGAAUUGUAAUCAUGAUGGAGGGUUCUCUAAGUAAAUGGACAAAUGUGAUGAAGGGUUGGCAGUACCGGUGGUUCGUGCUAGACGAGAAUGCUGGCCUGCUUUCUUAUUACACGUCCAAGGAGAAAAUGACGCGCGGUGUUCGAAGAGGGUGUGUGCGACUCAGGGCAGCUGUCAUAGGCAUCGAUGAUGAAGACGAUUCCACCUUCACCAUCACCGUAGACCACAAGACGUUCCACUUCCAGGCCCGUGACGGUUCAGAAAGAGAACGAUGGGUCCGCGCGUUAGAAGACACCAUAUCCAGGCAUGGUCGCCGAGAGCGAUGGUCGCGCUGUAUGCCAGCCCCGCGGCACCGACACGGCGACCUCGAGCGCAGAAUAUCGGAGGCCGAUGCCUAUCUGCAGAUCAUGAUUGAGCUGGUUUCUAAAAUGAGCGUUCGUGUGUCGGAGCUGGGAGAUCCGCACGAGAAGAGCAAAGGACAAGUAAUUCUAGAUCAUUCCAAUGUCAUGUUGGACAACAUAAAACAUUCCAUUGUGCUGCUACAAAUAGCUAAGAACACAGUUAAUCCAGUUAACGGAGUAUAUCAGGGACCUACAAAUCCUUCACAAACACAUAUCAAACAAGAUGCGGAACUAUCCCCGCGAGUGGAGAUGGGCGCGGAGUGUCGCGAGCUCGCCACGCCGACGCAUCCGCUGCCGCCGCUCGAACAUCUUGAUGCCCCACCUAUGUCACUGUUAGUGCCGGACACUUCGUACUCAUCAUCAGAAGGCGAGGACGAUUUCUUCGACGCCGAUGACGAGCCGGCCGGAGCCGUGCUGCCGGGGCCCAGCGCCAGUCGCACUUGUCCGGCGGAGGGCGCGCCCGAGCAAGACUCGGCGCAGCCCGCCGUCGAUCUGCCGCGCACCAGGGAUGGAGAAAUUGAUUACGAUGCCCUGUACGAGGAUGAGUCGGACAGUGACCUCGGGUCGAUGGAGAACCACGGCUCCGUGGUCACCCAUCUCCUGUCGCAGGUCAAGAUUGGAAUGGAUCUCACUAAGGUUGUGCUACCAACAUUCAUAUUGGAGAGGCGAUCACUCCUAGAGAUGUAUGCAGACUCAUUCGCACAUCCUGAUCAGUUCGUCAAGAUAGUAGACCAGCCCACACCCCGAGACCGCAUGGUCCAGGUGUGCCGAUGGUACCUCAGCUCGUACCACGCCGGGCGCAAGUCUCAGGUUGCUAAGAAACCGUAUAACCCCAUACUGGGAGAGGUCUUCCGAUGCCACUGGGACUUAGACGCAGUGCCCGGGGAGGUGCAUCAGAGUAACAAUGAGAAGCAAGAAGUAGGCGACGGUCCAGUCCCCUGGUGCACGCCGGACCAGCUGUCUUUCGUAGCGGAGCAAGUAUCCCACCACCCGCCGAUAUCAGCGUUCUACGCGGAACACGUGAACAAACGCAUACAGUUCGAAGCCUGGGUCUGGACUAAGAGCAAGUUCCUGGGUUUGUCCAUCGGAGUGCACAAUAUUGGCAAGGGGACGGUCACGCUUCUGGAUACCGGGGAAGAGUAUACGCUUACGUUCCCUAAUGGAUAUGGCAGAUCAAUUCUAACAGUUCCCUGGAUAGAACUCGGCGGUUCCGUAGUCAUAGAAUGCGUACAAACGGGCCACAAGGCGAACAUUGAGUUCCUCACGAAGCCGUUCUAUGGCGGCAAGAAACACCGCGUGACUUGCGAAGUGUUCGCCGGCGCUGAUAAGAAGCCGUACUAUACGGCGCAGGGAGAGUGGAACUCGAGGAUGGAUGGACGCUGGACUGAAUCUGGACGCACAGAAGUACUGUUCGAAGUAUCGAACAUGAAGGCGCGUCGCAAGCGCGUGGCGCCCGUGUCGCGCCAGGCGGCGCACGAGUCGCGGCGCGUGUGGCGCCACGUGACGUGCGCCCUGCGCGCCGCCGACUGCGACGCCGCCACCUGCGCCAAGCGCCACGUCGAGCAGGCGCAGCGCGACGCCGUCAAGUCGCGCGACGCCUCGGGGGAGAAGUGGACCACGCUGGUAUGUUACUGUGUACUGUAGUGUGGCGCCACGUCACCUGCGCCAAGCGCCACGUCGAGCAGGCGCAGCGCGACGCCGUCAAGUCGCGCGACGCCUCGGGGGAGAAGUGGACCACGCUGCUGUUCAGCCCAAAAGGCGAAGACGGAUGGGAGUACACAGCGCCCCUCAAAAAGCGUCUCAGCACCACCAAGACAACGCCCCAACAUAAAAACGGCGAGACUACUGAGAACACUAGAUAAUCUAAUCAACAAUCAACCUUGGACUUAUGAAGUAAGGUAGAAACUCCUUCGUCACUACAACGGACCUUCUAGGGUAGGCAAUGUUCAGUGACGCACUGUUCUAACGGCACCACACUUCGGGUAUGCUCGGGAAUCUUCGGGGAUCUUCGGGUGAAGUCAGUCCUGUCAUGUGUCCUUCUCUUAUUUAUACGUUACUCGAAGUGUGGUUUCGAUGUUUGUUUUAGAUAUCGAUAAAGUUGGACCGUUAAGUCUCUUAUGCCAUAAUUUUAGGUUUUUUUUUUAUGUCGCGCAUGAGUUCUUAAAUGUACCAAUUUCGUUUUUUAUAUCCCCUUCUUUCGCCUUUUGUGGCAAUUUUUAAGUAUUUAUUUUGUUAAAAUGAAGAUAGUUGAGCUAGAAAAAAAAUCUAGUGAUGGGCCCCAUAUAAAAAUUUCAUGCGGUCUUAUAGCCAGUAAUGUUUUCAAUUGUUACUGUUUCAUGUGUUCCUUCCUAUAUAUAAAUAAAGGCAUCAAAUAGUGAUGACCCACUGAGUCCGAAAAUAUGUCGAUUAAAUGAAAGAUACGUUUCUGAACACAAACAAAUUAAAAGUUGUCAACUGCAAAUACUACUUUAAUUGUAACAUGUGUUUUAAAACCUAUAUUUUCGAUAAUGCUGGCAGCGUGCGCGACACUAUUUAUAUAAGUUUUAUUUUAUAAUUCAUGUUUUCUUGUAAAUUCCCAAUUCUUAUUAUGGCCUAUGAUAGAAUUCAGCAAUAAAUACAAUUGUAAAUAAUGUUAUAUUUCAAAUUGCAACGCUUUGUAAAUUCUGUUCGAUUCGAACACGCGGUGUGCACCGUACGAGAAAAGCAUGGACUUAGAAACACAAAAACAUUACCCUUCUUCGCGUCGCGCAGUCGGGUAAAUAGAGGUACGUUUUUAAAAGUUGGUCGAUGUACGGUAGAGAAAGUCGCGAAUUUAAAGAGUAUUAUGAAAUGAAAUGUUAUUAUAGUGAAUAGUCGGUUUUAGGCAGCUGUAGUGUCGAUUUAAGGUACCGUUAAACUUAUUUGUAAAAUACUGCAAGAUUUUGAAAUAAGAUUCUCUUUGGUCACCGUUGAAUUUUUGCGUAAACACAAGCAAGAUACCUACAUCAAGAUAUAUUUUAUUAGUUAUGGUUUUAGGAUGUUUUUGAAUCGGGCAUUGUUAAAGAGACAUUUUUUUCCCUUAAUUAAAAAGUUGAACUUAAGAACAGGUUCAUGAUUGUUCGUAUCACCGAUUUAUAAUUAAUGAGUAUUCUCUUACCUAUGGCAUAAUUUCAAAUUCUUACAAGGCUCUUUCACAAAGUAUAUAAUCUUUAUCCAAGUUUAACAAAUGCCCAAUGCGAAAAUACCCUAACUACCCGUAGAAGCGGUUAGUGAAACCUUAUUUGUAAAAGUUAUCAAAAAGAAUGUAGGAAAUAAUGAUAUUGAUGAAAUUAAGUUGGCAAGUACUCUAUAGGAUUCGUUAAUAUCAAAUAAGUAGUGUAUGUAUGUAUAUGUAUAGUUAUAUUUUUAAUUCUAUGUGUUAACUAAAAAAUAGCGAUUCAAAAGAGAAGUUUGUGGUUUCAAGUGCUAGAUUUGAAAAAAGUAUAAAUAUGUGGAUUUAAAAAUAUACCUAUACUGCAAUACUUUUUCACACAAUGAUACUCUGAUGUCGAUUUAAAUUCUAUACUUUUUGUAUGCUACUGUAGUUCGUAUGUAGUGCAAGUUAUUGUACCUUCAGCGUAAUAUCCCGAGGUUUGUGAGUAUCGUGUAUCUUACCUCAAUUCAGUCACUACUGCAAUAUUUUACUGAGUAUGACGUAAGUAAGGUCAUGCAAAAAGUAUUGUUGAAUUAUUCUCUAGGAUGUCUCAUAAUCAGCAAACUUUAAAACGUGUAUCUAAUUGAAAAGAAAUACCGAAUGUAUCUCCAAAAAUCUAUAAGUAUCUCUCAGAUUUUUAUUCGUAGAUGGAUAGAAACGUAUUCGGGGUAUUACGGUAUAAUUUAAUCUCGUUUAAACACUUGUCCAUCCGUUUGUGCGAUGUCCACGGGACUCUAAACUUCACUUACUUUAGUGGGUAGGUGCUUACACUUUCUAAGUCCACUGUACGUCGGUUCAAUUGUAAUAAAUAGAAAAGACUGACAAUGUGAACGAAAUCUUACGGAAUCGACGGUCACUUGCAAAAUUAUGAUUAAUUAUGAAUUAUUCAAUCACAUAGACUUAUUUAAUUACAUAGUUAUAACUACCAUGUUGUAUAUUUAAAUAAAAAAUUACAUUAUUUUA
rnacentral:misc_RNA from 1 species